rnacentral:rRNA from 1 species
UACGGGGGGGGCAAGCGUUGUUCGGAAUUACUGGGCGUAAAGGGCUCGUAGGCGGCCAACUAAGUCCGACGUGAAAUCCCCAGGCUCAACCUGGGAACUGCGUCGGAUACUGGAUGGCUUGAAUUCGGGAGAGGGAUGCAGAAUUCCAGGUGUAGCGGUGAAAUGCGUAGAUAUCAGGAGGAACACCGGUGGCGAAGGCGGGUCUCUGGGCCGAUACUGACGCUGAGGAGCGAAAGCGUGGGGAGCGAACAGG